rnacentral:rRNA from 1 species
UACACACCGCCCGUCACACCAUGGGAGUUGGCUGCACCAGAAGUAGGUAGUCUAACCGUAAGGAGGGCGCCUACCACGGUGUGGUCAAUGACUGGGGUG